AAUAUUGAACAUGAACUUCAGAUAUGGAGUAUUGGUUCUCCUGAUCCUAACUUCACAUUAGAUGGCCACUCAAAAGGCGUGAACCGUGUUGAUUACUUCACCGGUGGUGAUCGACCAUUUUUUAUUACUAGAUCUGAUGAUCAGACUGCAAAGGUUUGAGAUUACCAAACCAAGAGAUGUGUUCAAACACUUGAAGGACAUGCACACAAUGUGUCUGCUGUCUGUUUCCAUCUAGAACUACCUAUUAUAAUUACUGGCUCAGAGGAUGGCACAGUUCACUUGUGGCACUCUACAACCUACAGGCUUGAGAACACUCUUCAUUAUGGUCUUGAGCGAGUUUGGGCUUUAGGAUACAUGAAGGGGUCAAGAAGGAUUGUGAUUGGAUAUGAUUUAGGGAAAAUUAUGAUAAAAAUUGGCCGUGAAGUUCCAGUUGCUAGCAUGGACAACAGUGAAAAAAUCCUAUGGGCAAAACAUAACGAAAUCCAAACUGUUAGUAUCAAGACUGUUGGUGCAGGCAAUGAGGUUCUUCUUCUUUGCCAUGUUAAAUGUGCAGGAUUGUGA
rnacentral:rRNA from 1 species